GGGUCGGUUGUCCAACCUGGUUAAGACGUCACUCUCAAUGAAGAUUGCAGGUUCGAAUCCUGCCCGACCCA
rnacentral:tRNA from 1 species